rnacentral:rRNA from 1 species
ACUCCUACGGGAGGCAGCAGUGGGGAAUAUUGCACAAUGGGCGCAAGCCUGAUGCAGCAACGCCGUGUGAGUGAAGAAGGUUUUCGGAUCGUAAAACUCUGUCCUAAGGGAAGAAACAAAUGACGGUACCUUAGGAGGAAGCCCCGGCUAACUACGUGCCAGCAGCCGCGGUAAUACGUAGGGGGCAAGCGUUAUCCGGAAUCACUGGGCGUAAAGGGUGCGUAGGCGGCUUAGCAAGCCAGGGGUGAAAGGCAUUGGCUCAACCAAUGUAAGCCUUUGGAACUGUUAGGCUUGAGUGCAGGAGAGGUAAGUGGAAUUCCUAGUGUAGAGGUGAAAUUCGUAGAUAUUAGGAGGAACACCAGUGGCGAAGGCGACUUACUGGACUGUAACUGACGCUG